CUUAUUUUUGAUAUAUUACCAUGAUUUAUCGUGUCGAAACCUUUCUAUACACAGGUAAAUCGGCAAAAUUUCGAAUAUGGCCACAUUUUCGUCCCUGCUGCAACCAACGACUAAGAUUCCGGGACGUGGCGGCGCCACCCCUUCACCAGCACCGAAAAGAACUUAAAUUACCUGAACACCCUUCACAAAGUCACAAAUGCAAAACCUAAUUUGGGCGAGUAACCCACUCGAGUCGCCCUUUUUGGGUCAUCCUUGCUCGAAACUCGUCAUUCAGUCUACCAGGAGGCUUACCAGAAGAAGAAGAAAGGGAGGAGAGAGAGGGAGAGAGUGGGCGGUCAGGGCAAUGCCUUGUUCUUCUAAAAAUACGUCGUCUUCUUCUAGAGAUGACAAUGGUGCCCUUCGUGCUUUCAAGCUGAGUGAGUCCACGUUUUUGGCUUCUCUUAUUCCUAAGAAGGGGAUUGCUGCUGAUCGAUUCGUCGAGGCGCAUUCUAAGUACGAUGCCCGUGAGGUUGUUGUCGCUAUUUUUGGUAAUUUGAAAUUUUCUAUGGGGGGUUUUGGGUCUGUUUGGGUGAUGAGAAAGUGAUGGGAAAUGGGAAAAAAUUUCUGGGUUUAUUUAUUGGUUUAUGAGAAGUGGGCGAAGGACACUAAGUGGGAUAUGGGUGUUAGUCGUUUUUUCUUUUUGGGGGUCUGUUUCUGUUUGGGUCCUGAGAAAGUGGUGGAAAAUGAAAGAUAACUGUUUUUUUAUUUUUUUUGUUGGAGUUUUAUGUUGUUUUGGUUAAGAUAUCAGACGUGAACCUUCAGCUUUUUCCAUGGUGUCUUGAAAGUGUUGUUCAUGCUAAAACUUAGGAGUCGAAUGUGGGAAAUGCUUAUCUCUUGAGCUGUGCUGGGUUGUAUUUCUGAUCUUAGAGUGUUGUUUUUACCCAGAUUCUGGUGUGUUACAAGUUACCUCAGGUGGGAAACCGAAGAUCUUUGAUGUUCUUGAUUCGUAUUAUAAAACUACUUGUUUGUCACGGUACUCUUACAGCAAUAUUUACAGAGUACUUUUUCUUUUUUCAGCCUUGGCAGUGGAGAUAUUGAUACCUCAACUGUGGUGAAGGCCGAUUCAAACGGUUGUCUUGGUGGAGCAUCAGGGGCAUCUCUGGUUGUAAAUUCUUCAUGGAAGAACCCUUCUGGGGAGUGGCAUGUGGGUUAUAAAGUCGUAUACGAGCUUUGUACAGACACAUUGACUUCUGGUUUGAAGAAAGAAGGAAAAAGUGGAACAAAAAGCAUAGGAAGCAAUAGCUGAGGCUGUAAAGCAUCUUGAUGAAUUUGACCAGGUUUUGGAUAAUUCUGUUGCUUAAUUUCUUACAUGUUGCAUUUUUUUCCAAAUCACCUAUUCCGUAUUGCACUUAACUUCUGUUGUUAAUUAGUCAGUAACUCUGCAUAAUAGACCUGCAAAUUAUUGACUUUAAAAACAUCAUUCAAUUCUUGAUGCACUAUUAUUGUUUUCACUCCCCCUUAUUGUAAGUUGAUGUUUUUUGAUACUUUAUUGAUGUCCGGGCAUUUUACUUUUUGUCUCUUUGUAUUCAUGUUCAUCUGGAGAAAUUCAGUAUGCUAACUGCAUAAAAUGGUAAAAGAUUUUGGAUAAGGUCAAAAGUUUCCAUCUGUUAAUAAAAGUUUAUAAAUAGUUCAUUUACAAGCUCAAGCGGUCCUCAGGGCAUCUAUGUAAUAUAUUGCUGACACGUUCUUGUUUCAGUAUUACACUUGCAUUUCCUGCAUCAUGCCCAUCACCAGCUAUUAUAUGAUUUGUUGUAAAUUGCCUGGUCCAGAAACACAUUAAGAAGGGCUUGUGAAGACCUCCAAAACAGGGUUGACUUACUCCAGAAAUAGAGCUAUGAUGACAAGGGACCUAUUAUAGAUGCUGUUGUUUGGAAUGGAGAACCAUGGAGGGCCACACUUGAUAGGCAGAGUCUUGAGGAUGACCCAGGGUGUUGGAAAUUUGCUGAUUUUGUAACCGUAACUAAUUAUAGGUAUGUUUGAUCCACCAGUAACAAAAUUGUGUGCUGGAGUAUCUUUUAUAUUUUUCUUAUAGUUUUCAAUGGUAAUAAUAUGUGUUUGAAAGAAGCUGAAACAUCCUUUCUAUAUAGGAGUUCUAAUUUUGAUGCAGUUUUUCUGGCUUAAGGUGGAUUACUGUUGUAUGAAUUAUGAAAACUGUUGUUGAGUUACUUCCAAUGAAGCAUCUGAAUUUGCUCCCUCUGAUUUAUUUUGGGGAAAAGAAAGGGGCUUGACUGUGCUUUUUGGGCUUACAUAAAAUCAAUUGGCAGCAUUUGAAAGCUCAACUUGAUUUUGAUAUUGCAUGGUGUUUUGAAGAUUCUGUUCAUUGUUAGUCCAGCCCCAGAUCCUGGAGAUGGAACUUGCACUUGGAAACAACCUUUUAUGUUGCUUGCGAUAGGCAUUUCACUUGUCUAAGGCAUGACUUGCCUUCUAAAUUCGCAUAAGCUCCUAAGGUAAACAGCUUAGGAAAGGCCUUGUCUGAACAAUAGUCAUGCAGAGAGAUGUGAAGCUCAAACACAAAUAUGCCCAGAAACGAGAAUUUAUGUUGAUGUUUCAAAUCUUUGUUCUGGCUACUUUUCUCAAUCCUCUGAUUUUAAGAAUGUAUUCUGAUUACCACUGACUUGUUGUUAUUAUUAUUAUUAUUCCUUUUUUCUUCCAUCAUAUCUUAUUCUUCUUUUCUUUUAUCUCACAUCUAGGCUAGAGUUGGAGAUGAAGAAGGUGUUUUUGUCUCCAACGACUUUAAUGUUAUGUACGCUGACUUUUCAGAAUUGAAAGAAAGUUUGGCAUGUUUAGCAAACCCGAUGCUUGCACAUGUGUCGUUAAUGUAUAUGAUCAAGGCAGUAUCUUGAGUAUAGUGACAGAUAGCUUCCCCAAUUACCAUUUGAAAAUAACAUGCUGUCUUCCUGCAUUUCCUUUACAGUAAACAAAAUAUGCCAUUGUUGUGCAAGAGCCAAUGUUGAAUGAAGUUGGCACCUGGAGCACAGAUCUUGUAAAAUUGGAGACACAUGCCUAGGUUCAACAGAAACAGGAACAGGCUUGACCAGAUCAUUAAUAGCUGCUGUCAAGCAUAAGUGUGAUCUCGUCAACAUGAGUUAUGGAGAACCUACAAUGAUGCUUGAAUAUGGAUGAUUUGUUGACCUUGUUAAUGAACAUUGACCGCUGUGGGCUCACCUGGUGGUACCACUUCACUUAUUGUUGGUGUCGGUGCGUAUGUACUUUCUCCUGCUAUGGCUGCUGGAGCUCAUUGUGUAGUUGAACCUCCAUCUGAAGGCCUCGAGUAUUCAUGGUAUACAAUCUUCCCUGAAGAAAGUUUUUGUGUUUCAGCAAGUUGCUGGCAGUAAAUUAUUCAUUUGAAUCUUAAAGCAUAGCUGAACGAAAUGGGGUGCAGGUCUAGCCAUGAACCAACAGUUGAUGGUGAUCUUUGGGUGUGCAUAAGCCCUCCACGAAAAUUUGAUUUUGCAAGUGCAUUAUGUGUUACCAUAUGAUAUCUUUGUGCUUAUGAAAGUAAUAUUUAGAUGUGAAUGCCAUUUAGAAGCUGCACUUAGCAUACUGAUUAUGUAGUUAUGCAGAUGGUCCUCAUUGUUUGAGGAAACAGGUUUUUCUUGUUGCUUAUUAGUAUUGAGCCCCAUAAAGACUAAAGAGAAAAGUUCAUGAGAAUAAAAUAAUUUAUAUGUUGGCAUGAGUA